AACGCGAAGAACCUUACCAAGGCUUGACAUGAACCGGAAAGACCUGGAAACAGGUGCCCCGCUUGCGGUCGGUUUACAGGUGGUGCAUGGUUGUCGUCAGCUCGUGUCGUGAGAUGUUGGGUUAAGUCCCGCAACGAGCGCAACCCUCGUUCUAUGUUGCCAGCGCGUGAUGGCGGGGACUCAUAGGAGACUGCCGGGGUCAACUCGGAGGAAGGUGGGGACGACGUCAAAUCAUCAUGCCCCUUAUGUCUUGGGCUUCACGCAUGCUACAAUGGCCGGUACAAAGGGUUGCGAUACUGUGAGGUGGAGCUAAUCCCAAAAAGCCGGUCUCAGUUCGGAUUGGGGUCUGCAACUCGACCCCAUGAAGUCGGAGUCGCUAGUAAUCGCAGAUCAGCAACGCUGCGGUGAAUACGUUCCCGGGCCUUGUACACACCG
rnacentral:rRNA from 1 species